AACAUCUUGUGCAAGGAAACAAAAAACUACUCAGUGCUGUAAAAUAUGUCAGGCUUCCUACAUGGAUCUAACCGUCUGCAAUGUUGGAGAUCAAGCGAGUUUGAAAUCAUGUGGGUAAUUAGGUCCCUUGGGUUAGGGGGUUGUAUACAUGGUCAAAGGGGGGCAGUUUCCUUUCACCGACAGUUGGGGGGAGUUAUUUUUGAGCUUCAACUGAUAUGGGGGAUUAUGAUGACCUUAAGAGUUUGGAUGAGGAGCCAUGUAGCUGAAGUUUUCUUGAUUUGGUAGUGCCGGGUUUCCCUCGUUUUACUUUCAUUUGUAUUUUCAGUUCUCCCGUUUGUUUUUGUAGUUUUGAUACAGAUCCAUGUAGUUGAAUGAUUGGGAUAAGACUGAGUUUGUUGUUGUUGUAUAAGAUUUUAGAUGAACUCUUUUGUCUUCGAAAACAAAUGAAUAAUUGAUGAUUCAAAGCUUUGUAGGUCU